CGAGGCCGCCGUCGCUAGAUCUAGCGAGGCUCGGUCUCGCCCAGCCAUGGCGAGGUCGAGCCUCGCCAGAUCUAGCGACGGCCGCCUUGC
rnacentral:pre_miRNA from 1 species